rnacentral:rRNA from 1 species
CCUACGGGGGGCUGCAGUAGGGAAUCUUCCGCAAUGGACGAAAGUCUGACGGAGCAACGCCGCGUGAGCGAAGAAGGUCUUCGGAACGUAAAGCUCUGUUGUUAGGGAAGAACAAGUACGGGAGGAAAUGACCGUACCUUGACGGUACCUAACGAGGAAGCCACGGCUAACUACGUGCCAGCAGCCGCGGUAAUACGUAGGCGGCAAGCGUUGUCCGGAAUUAUUGGGCGUAAAGCGCGCGCAGGCGGUAUUUUAAGUCUGAUGUGAAAUCUUGCGGCUCAACCGCAAGCGGUCAUUGGAAACUGGGAGGCUUGAGUGCAGAAGAGUGAAGAGGAAUUCCAAGUGUAGCGGUGAAUUGCGUAGAGAUGUGGUGGAACACCAGAGGCGAAGGCGGCUUUGUGGUCUGUAACUGACGCUGAGGCGCGAAGGCGUGGGGAGCAAACAGGAUUAGAUACCCCUGUAGUC